rnacentral:tRNA from 2 species
GGAGAGGUGCAGGAGUGGCUUAUCUGGCUGGUCUUGAAAACCAUGCGUUCGCAAGGACACGAGGGUUCGAAUCCCUCCCUCUCCGCCA